rnacentral:rRNA from 1 species
UGGUGGAGUGAUUUGUCUGGUUAAUUCCGUUAACGAACGAGACCUUAACCUAUUAAAUAGUUACAUGAACUUGGGUGUUUUAUCCCAAUAGUUUAUGGUUAACUUCUUAGAGGGACUCUUCACGUAAAUAGUGAAUGGAAGUUUGAGGCAAAAACA